rnacentral:misc_RNA from 1 species
AAAAUAAUCCUACCCUUUGUGAAUUUUGUUUGUUUGAAUAAUUUUUUUUUUUAAAAAAUUAUUGGAGUCUUUCCCUUUAGAGUUUGCUUUUGAGUUUGUAAAAGAAUUCGAAAACAUCUAAAGGGGAUGGUCAAUAAUUUUUUUGAAAAAAGACAUUUUUUAAAAUUAAACUUUUUGUAUUCAUUUGUCUAAAAAUUAUUUUUAUAAUAUAAAAACAACUUCUGACAAUGGAUCUCUUGGUUCUCGCAACGAUGAAGAACGCAGCAAAUGCGAUAAGUAGUGUGAAUUGCAGAAUACGUGAAUCAUCGAAUCUUUGAACGCAUAUUGCACUUUUUUAGUUUACUAAAAAAGUAUGUCUGUUUGAGUAUCAGUAAAAUAUUCUCAUAAAAAUCAUUGUGUAUUUUUAUGGUUAUGAGUGUUUUACAACGAUACAAGUUGUCUCACUUUAAAUUUUUUUUUAAUAUUGAAAUUUUUCUAAUUUUAAUAAUUAAAAUUGGAUAAAAUUUUCCCGUCAAAAGGAAUAACCUAAACAAUUUUAAACGAUUAAUUUUAGCAAAAUUUUCGUAAAAAAGGAAAAUUUUUAUUAAAAUAACUUGAUCUCAAAUCAGAUAAGAGUACCCGCUGAACUUAAGCAUAUCAAUAAGCGGAGGAAAAGAAACUAACAAGGAUUCCCUUAGUAACGGCGAGUGAAGCGGGAAGAGCUCAAAUUUGAAAUCUUCAAGGUUUUACCUUGACGAAUUGUAGUUUAAAGAAGUAUUUUCUGCUGAAGUUUUGGUAAAAGUUCUUUGGAAUAGGACAUCAUAGAGGGUGAGAAUCCCGUAUUUGACCAUUAUUUUCAGCUUUGUGAUACACUUUCAAAGAGUCGGAUUGUUUGGGAAUGCAGUCCAAAAUGGGUGGUAAAUUUCAUCUAAAGCUAAAUAUUGGCGAGAGACCGAUAGCGAACAAGUACCGUGAGGGAAAGAUGAAAAGAACUUUGAAAGAGAGUUAAACAGUACGUGAAAUUGUCAAAAGGGAAGCGUUUGACACCAGUGUUGUUUUCUCAAAAUCAAUUAAAAAGCUCGAUUUUGCUAGCUGUAGACCUUUAAAAGCUAUCUGUACAUUUUUCGAGUCUUUCUUUAAUGCACUUUUCAGUUAACAAGUCAACAUCAAUUUCUUUUGCUGUAAAAGUCAUUGAGGAAGGUGGCUUGCGUUUCGUCGAAAGUAUUUAUAGCCUUUGCCUAUGCAAUCGGAGAGAUUGAGGUCUGCAGCGUAGAUCUUCGGGGCUAAAUGCAUUUGUGCUAAGUUAUAGCAUUUCUAUAGACAACUUGUUGACUAUGAUUUGUCUUGUAGCUUACUCGCUUAUGCUAUUU